UCUGUUCUUAAAUCAACAGAGUUCCUUCCCAUAAGGUACUGACCAAUCAUGCUAACACUUAUAAACACUGGCUUCUAAAGCUUUAGGCAAAGAGUUUCGAUGAUCACAGAUACAAAAUAAAAAUACACGUAAUCAAGAUAAUUGCUGUUUUUAACCUUGUUAGAUUUAACUACUUGAAAAACAGAACCCAACCAAAAAAACAUUUUAAAAUGUCUGAGCUUUAUCUACAUGCCACACAGUUAAAGGGACAAGGCUGGGAAUGCUGUCUUAUUUCCAACAAAACUUGAAAGACGCAGCAAAGAGGGUAAGAUGUUCAGAGAGGACAAAUAGCAUUCUGUCUUCCUACGUCAGACAGGAUGCAGGACAAUGAGAUCCCUCUGAUAAACGGUCUGUUUCCGAGAGGCCGUAGAGUAUUGAGGCUCUAACCAGCCUACAUUUUACAAGGAAUCCACUGGGGACCCCAGGCUGUGGGUGAUGCAAUAUAGAGGUUGGGAUUGUGCAGGGUUUGUGCUGGUUACUUUUUUGCCAACUUGACACAAGGUACAGUCACUGGAGAGGAGGGGAUGUGAGUUGAGAAAAUGCUUCCGUUAGAUUCUUAUGUAGGCAAGUCUGAGCAUGGGAUGGUUCUGGAUCAAUGAUUAAUGUGGGAGGACCCAGCCUACCGUGGGACAGCGCUGUCCUGGGAAUGUCACCCUGAGGUGUAUAGAAACCAUGGUUGUGUGCCAGUAAUCAGCAUUCUUCACCAUCUCUUCUUCAUCUCCUGCCUCCAAGUCUCUGUCUUUUUCCUGUCAUGGCUUGACUUGAUAGAUUGUGGUCAGGGUGGGAGAGGCAAAUCAACACUUUCUUCCUCAUACUUUUAAUCAUGGUGGCCUUAUCACAGCAAUAGGACAUCAGGGGUAUAGAGUCAAAAAUAACAAGUCCUAUAAAUAAUGAGUUUUAUGGAUCCUUGGAAGUAGCGGUGGGUAUAUGAUAUUCAGUGUUUUUCCUAGCAAGGGCUUCUAUUACCCUGAUGAAUAAAAGGCAAGUUACAGAGGAAAGCAUUUAUUGGGCUUAUGCUCCCACAUCACCAUCAAUAAAAGAAGUCAGGACAGGAAUUCGAACAGGCAGAAUCCUGGAGGUAGGGGCUUACACAGAGGCCAUGGAGCGUGUUGCUUACUCAUCUGAACUAAUCACUCACUCAGCCUGCUUUCUUAUAUAACCUAGGACAACCAGACUGGGUGCGGUCCCACCUACAGUGGGCUGGGCCCUCCUACAUCAAUCACCAAUGAAGUAAAUGCCCUACUGACUUGUCUACAGCUGAUCUUACAGAGGCAUUUUCUUAAUUGGCACUCCUUCCUUUCCAAGGACUUUAGCUGUGUCCAGUGGACAUGAUAUGAGGCAGGCACAGUGUUUUUCCAGUAUGUAUUCCUAGAUGGCAAUAAUUUUACUAGAAUAGUCACUAUAAUUGGCCUGUCACACUGUCAAAGAUUCAACUACUCACACAUAGACGGUCUAUGGAACAGUUAGUGCUUCUGUUCUGAUUUAGCUCCAUCCCCUGAAUUAUUUUGGAUAAACUAUAUAGCUAAUAAAUUAUACAUUGUAAGAAAUCUAGAAAGGAUUUUAAACGUGUAGGAUGGGUUCAUUUAAAGUUUAAAAGAUGCGCCAAGUUCACAUUCCAUUUUACAUACAAUGUAAAUAUCUAUAGGAUUUGCCUUGUGCAGAGUGGGUUGGCAGGCCUUUUGCUUUCAAACCCCAAAGAACCUUGGCUUUAAGGAAUGAACAUUUCUGUUUAGAGUUAACUGAAAUGUAUAUAUUUUUUUAACAAGCUGGUUUGAACAGAGGGAUGUAGGGGACUUGAAGGAGGAGGUCUUUCUGUAGAAUGUGUAGUCACUGGACUGGUUCUAACUCGUGGUUCUACUCUUUGUAGUUUUUUUCAGGUCUGUCACUAGAUACAGGCUUCCUGCCUGUACUCUCGUGGAUUCGGUACUUUAGCAUUCCUCAUUAUGGAUUUAGGGCUUUGCUACACAACGAAUUCCUGGGACAAAACUUCUGUCCAGAAUACAACACAGAAGAAGUCAGUAGAUGUCAGAACUAUGUAAUAUGUACUGGUGAAGAAUUCUUGGAGAUCCAGGGCUUCCAUCUCUCAUCGUGGGGCUUCUGGGAGAAUCACCUGGCCUUAGCUUGUACAAUGAUUAUCCUCUUAACAAUUACCUAUGUACAAUUGCUACUUCUUAAGAAAAGGAAACAUUGCUAAAUUAC
rnacentral:sRNA from 1 species